rnacentral:rRNA from 1 species
UAAAGAAAGCGUAAUAGCUCACUGGUUCAAUGGCGCUGCGCCGAAAAUGUAACGGGGCUAAGCAUGCUGCCGAAGCUUCGGAUUUGUCUCUGACAACUGGUAGGGGAGCGUUCUCUGUGGGCUGAAGCGGAACCGAAAGGUUUCGUGGACUGCAGAGAAGUGAUUAUGCUGACAUGAGUAACGAUAAAAUAUGUGAAAAACAUAUUCGCCGUAAAUCCAAGGUUUCCUGGGUAAAGGUAAUCUUCCCAGGGUUAGUCGGACCCUAAGGCCAGGCUGAAAGGCGUAGCUGAUGGGAAACGGGUUAAUAAUCCUGUACUUGUGCGAUUGUGCGAAGAAGGGACGCAGGAUGGUAGACAGGCCGGUUUUUGGAAUCCGGUGCAAGUGCGUAGGUAUGCUCCGCAGGCAAAUCCGCGGAGAUGAGCCGAGACACGAGUCCGUGGGCGUAAGCCCUGAAGCUGUUGAGCCACGGCUGCCAAGAAAAGCUUCUAAGUUUAGAUCGCGCGAACCGUACCGCAAACCAACUCAGGUGGAUGGGAUGAAUAAUCCAAGGCGCUCGAGAGAACUCUGGCCAAGGAACUCGGCAAAUUGACCCCGUACCUUCGGAAUAAGGGGUGCUCCCCAUGGUGAGACAAAUUCCUGUUCAGCCUCAGGGAGCCGCAGAGAAAUGGUGGUGGCGACUGUUUACUAAAAACAUAGGUCUGUGCGAAGUCCUACAGACGACGUAUACGGACUGACGCCUGCCCGGUGCCGGAAGGUUAAAAGGAGGAGUCAGCGCAAGCGAAGCUCCGAUUUGAAGCCCCGGUAAACGGCGGCCGUAACUAUAACGGUCCUAAGGUAGCGAAAUUCCUUGUCGGGCAAGUUCCGACCUGCACGAAUGGCGUAACGAUCUCCACGCUGUCUCGGCCAGAGACUCGGUGAAAUUGAAGUCGCGGUGAAAAUGCCGUGUACCCGCAGAAAGACGGAAAGACCCUGUGCACCUUUACUAUAGCUUGACAUUGGGUUUUGAACCUGCAUGUGUAGGAUAGGUGGGAGGCUGUGAAAGCUGUACGCCAGUAUGGCCGGAGCCACCCGUGAAAUACCACCCUUGUUUGUUCAGGACCCUAACUCGCCGCUGUAAUCCAGCGCGAAGACAGUGUCUGGUGGGUAGUUUGACUGGGGC